AGCGAACGCUGGCGGCAGGCUUAACACAUGCAAGUCGAGCGGGCCUUUCGGGGUCAGCGGCGGACGGGUGAGUAACGCGUGGGAACGUGCCCUCUGGUUCGGAAUAACUCAGGGAAACUUGAGCUAAUACCGGAUACGCCCUUUUGGGGAAAGGCUUGCUGCCGGAGGAUCGGCCCGCGUCUGAUUAGCUAGUUGGUGAGGUAACGGCUCACCAAGGCGACGAUCAGUAGCUGGUCUGAGAGGAUGAUCAGCCACACUGGGACUGAGACACGGCCCAGACUCCUACGGGAGGAAGCAGUGGGGAAUAUUGGACAAUGGGCGCAAGCCUGAUCCAGCCAUGCCGCGUGAGUGAUGAAGGCCUUAGGGUUGUAAAGCUCUUUUAUCCGGGACGAUAAUGACGGUACCGGAGGAAUAAGCCCCGGCUAACUUCGUG
rnacentral:rRNA from 1 species